CCUACGGGAGGCAGCAGUAGGGAAUCUUUCACAAUGGGCGAAAGCCUGAUGGAGCAACGCCGCGUGCAGGAUGAAGGCCUUCGGGUUGUAAACUGCUUUUAUAAGCGAGAAAUAUGAUGGUAACUUAUGAAUAAGGAUCGGCUAACUACGUGCCAGCAGCCGCGGUCAUACGUAGGAUCCGAGCAUUAUCCGGAGUGACUGGGUGUAAAGAGUUGCGUAGGUGGCAUAAUAAGUAGCUAGUGAAAUCUGGUGGCUCAACCAUUCAGACUAUUAGCUAAACUGUUAAGCUCGAGACCGUUAGGGGUAACUGGAAUUUCUAGUGUAGGAGUGAAAUCCGUAGAUAUUAGAAGGAACACCAAUAGCGUAGGCAGGUUACUGGGACGGUUCUGACACUAAGGCACGAAAGCGUAGGGAGCAAACGGGAUUAGAUACCCCAGUAGUC
rnacentral:rRNA from 1 species